rnacentral:rRNA from 1 species
UACGUAGGGACCUAGCGUUGUCCGGAAUCAUUGGGCGUAAAGAGCGUGUAGGCGGCCCGGUAAGUCCGCUGUGAAAGUCGGGGGCUCAACCCUCGAAUGCCGGUGGAUACUGUCGGGCUAGAGUGCGGAAGAGGCGAGUGGAAUUCCUGGUGUAGCGGUGGAAUGCGCAGAUAUCAGGAGGAACACCGGUGGCGAAGGCGGGAUCCUGGGCCAGUACUGACGCUGAGGAGCGAAAGCGUGGGGAGCAAACAGG